UGGCGGCAGGCCUAACACAUGCAAGUCGAGCGCACUCUUCGGAGUGAGCGGCGGACGGGUUAGUAACGCGUGGGAACAUACCCUUUUCUACGGAAUAGCCUCGGGAAACUGAGAGUAAUACCGUAUACGCCCUUUUGGGGAAAGAUUUAUCGGUGAAGGAUUGGCCCGCGUUUGAUUAGAUAGUUGGUGGGGUAAUGGCCUACCAAGUCUACGAUCAAUAGCUGGUUUGAGAGGAUGAUCAGCAACACUGGGACUGAGACACGGCCCAGACUCCUACGGGAGGCAGCAGUGGGGAAUCUUAGACAAUGGGCGCAAGCCUGAUCUAGCCAUGCCGCGUGAGUGACGAAGGCCUUAGGGUCGUAAAGCUCUUUCGCCAGGGAUGAUAAUGACAGUACCUGGUAAAGAAACCCCGGCUAACUCCGUGCCAGCAGCCGCGGUAAUACGGAGGGGGUUAGCGUUGUUCGGAAUUACUGGGCGUAAAGCGUACGUAGGCGGAUUGGAGAGUAUGGGGUGAAAUCCCAGGGCUCAACCCUGGAACUGCCCUGUAAACUAUCAGUCUAGAGUUCGAGAGAGGUGAGUGGAAUUCCAAGUGUAGAGGUGAAAUUCGUAGAUAUUUGGAGGAACACCAGUGGCGAAGGCGGCUCACUGGCUCGAUACUGACGCUGAGGUACGAAAGUGUGGGGAGC
rnacentral:rRNA from 1 species